GUCUGACGUCACAAAGAACCCUCCUUGCGUCCCCGCCGCAUGUGACCGCAUCCUAUAGGUUGAUCCGCAACCCCGCCCCUCGGACAGACAGCGCCAUCCGCCAAUCGGAGCCGCCCUUCCCGCACAUAGCCAAUUGGCUUAAGUCCAUCGCACACUAUUUAAAAUGGCAAUGUAGACAGAAAUGUUGGAGAAACUCAGCGGAUGAAGCAGUAUCUAUGUUUGAGUUUGGCCCCGCUUCAGACGCAAGCAUUUCUCCAGCAUUAUUGUCUACCGCUCUAUAGAUGCUGCCUCACCCGCAUUCACAUUCCCCUACAGAUAGUGUGAUAGGUGAGACACGGCGGUGGGCCCAGCAUCAACCCCCCUGCCUGAGGCACCGCUCACACCCACCCUCACCUCCGGCGGCUCUCUGUGUGUCCGGCGGCCGCUCUGUCCACCUUUGGUCCACACCGCAUGGAGUUUAACCCCGGAGCGGACCAGGGCGCUCAAGUUGCUGAACCAAGCCACGAUGCAACCGGUCAGCAUGCUCUCGACUGUGCACCUGUAGAAGUUAGAGAGAGUCCUCCAUGACAAACCAACUCUCCGUAAUCUUCUCAGGAAGUAGAGGC